rnacentral:rRNA from 1 species
CCUACGGGUGGCAGCAGUGGGGAAUAUUGCACAAUGGGGGAAACCCUGAUGCAGCGACGCCGCGUGAGUGAAGAAGUCAUUCGUUAUGUAAAGCUCUAUCAGCAGGGAAGAAAAUGACGGUACUUGAGUAAUAAGCCCCGGCGAACUACGGGACAGCAGCCGCGGUCAUACGUAGGGGGCAAGCGUUAUCCGGAUUUACUGGGUGUAAAGUGAUCGUAGACGGCAGUGCAAGUCAGGAGUGAAAGGCGGGGGCUCAAUCCCCGGACUGCUCUGGAUACUGGACGGCUGGAGUGCAGGAGAGGUAAGUGGAAUUCCAGGUGUAGCGGUGAAAUGCGUAGAGAUUAGGAGGAACACCGGUGGCGAAGGCAGCUUACUGGACUGUAACUGACGUUGAGGCGCGAAAGCGUGGGGAGCAAACAGGAUUAGAUACCCCUGUAGUC